rnacentral:rRNA from 1 species
AAAUUGAAGAGUUUGAUCAUGGCUCAGAUUGAACGCUGGCGGCAGGCCUAACACAUGCAAGUCGAGCGGUAGCACAGAGAGCUUGCUCUCGGGUGACGAGCGGCGGACGGGUGAGUAAUGUCUGGGAAACUACCUGAUGGAGGGGGAUAACUACUGGAAACGGUAGCUAAUACCGCAUAACGUCGCAAGACCAAAGUGGGGGACCUUCGGGCCUCAUGCCAUCAGAUGUGCCCAGAUGGGAUUAGCUGGUAGGUGGGGUAACGGCUCACCUAGGCGACGAUCCCUAGCUGGUCUGAGAGGAUGACCAGCCACACUGGAACUGAGACACGGUCCAGACUCCUACGGGAGGCAGCAGUGGGGAAUAUUGCACAAUGGGCGCAAGCCUGAUGCAGCCAUGCCGCGUGUGUGAAGAAGGCCUUCGGGUUGUAAAGCACUUUCAGCGGGGAGGAAGGCGAUAAGGUUAAUAACCUUGUCGAUUGACGUUACCCGCAGAAGAAGCACCGGCUAACUCCGUGCCAGCAGCCGCGGUAAUACGGAGGGUGCAAGCGUUAAUCGGAAUUACUGGGCGUAAAGCGCACGCAGGCGGUCUGUCAAGUCGGAUGUGAAAUCCCCGGGCUCAACCUGGGAACUGCAUUCGAAACUGGCAGGCUAGAGUCUUGUAGAGGGGGGUAGAAUUCCAGGUGUAGCGGUGAAAUGCGUAGAGAUCUGGAGGAAUACCGGUGGCGAAGGCGGCCCCCUGGACAAAGACUGACGCUCAGGUGCGAAAGCGUGGGGAGCAAACAGGAUUAGAUACCCUGGUAGUCCACGCUGUAAACGAUGUCGAUUUGGAGGUUGUGCCCUUGAGGCGUGGCUUCCGGAGCUAACGCGUUAAAUCGACCGCCUGGGGAGUACGGCCGCAAGGUUAAAACUCAAAUGAAUUGACGGGGGCCCGCACAAGCGGUGGAGCAUGUGGUUUAAUUCGAUGCAACGCGAAGAACCUUACCUGGUCUUGACAUCCACAGAACUUAGCAGAGAUGCUUUGGUGCCUUCGGGAACUGUGAGACAGGUGCUGCAUGGCUGUCGUCAGCUCGUGUUGUGAAAUGUUGGGUUAAGUCCCGCAACGAGCGCAACCCUUAUCCUUUGUUGCCAGCGGUUCGGCCGGGAACUCAAAGGAGACUGCCAGUGAUAAACUGGAGGAAGGUGGGGAUGACGUCAAGUCAUCAUGGCCCUUACGACCAGGGCUACACACGUGCUACAAUGGCAUAUACAAAGAGAAGCGACCUCGCGAGAGCAAGCGGACCUCAUAAAGUAUGUCGUAGUCCGGAUUGGAGUCUGCAACUCGACUCCAUGAAGUCGGAAUCGCUAGUAAUCGUAGAUCAGAAUGCUACGGUGAAUACGUUCCCGGGCCUUGUACACACCGCCCGUCACACCAUGGGAGUGGGUUGCAAAAGAAGUAGGUAGCUUAACCUUCGGGAGGGCGCUUACCACUUUGUGAUUCAUGACUGGGGUGAAGUCGUAACAAGGUAACCGUAGGGGAACCUGCGGUUGGAUCACCUCCUUACCUUAAAGAA